rnacentral:rRNA from 1 species
UACAGAGGGUGCGAGCGUUAAUCGGAAUUACUGGGCGUAAAGCGCGCGUAGGCGGCUUUUCAAGUCAGACGUGAAAUCCCCGGGCUUAACCUGGGAACUGCAGUCGAGACUGUCUAGCUAGAGUAUGGGAGAGGGAAGUGGAAUUUCAGGUGUAGCGGUGAAAUGCGUAGAUAUCUGAAGGAACAUCAGUGGCGAAAGCGACUUCCUGGACCAAUACUGACGCUCAUGUGCGAAAGCGUGGGGAGCAAACAGG